rnacentral:lncRNA from 1 species
CUUAGGUGCUGUUUCAGGAGCUCCAAAGAGCUCUGGUACCAUAGCCCUUUAAGUCUCAGCACAGCAAAGAAUUCAGCAAGAGGCUAAGUGGUAGAUAAGAAGUGAUUUACUGGAAGAGGAUGAUUGUGAGGCUUACAAGUGGCUCUAAGCCCAGUCUUCAGCUAUGGGGACCCCCCCUGGAUCAGGCCAUUAGCCUCCUGGUGGCCAUCUGCCACAAGUACUCUGGCUGUGAGGGCGUCAAGAACACCCGGAGCAAGAAGGAGCUGAAAGAGCUUGUCCAGAAGGAGCUCACCCUUGGAGAGAUGAAUGCAGGAUGCGGAAAUCGCAGAGCUAAUGGACGAACUGGACCAGAACAAGGACCAGGUGGUGAACUUCCAAGAAUAUGUCACCUUCCUGGGGGCCUUGGCUAUGAUCUACAAUGAACUUCUCCAGGACUGAAAAUAAAUUGGGAGGUGGAGACGCCCUCUAUUUGGUC